UACGGAGGGGGCAAGCGUUGUUCGGAAUCAUUGGGCGUAAAGCGCGUGUAGGCGGCUUGGCAAGUCGGGUGUGAAAUCCCGGGGCCCAACCCCGGAACUGCAUUCGAAACUGCCUCGCUAGAGUCCCGGAGAGGAAGGCGGAAUUCCCGGUGUAGAGGUGAAAUUCGUAGAUAUCGGGAGGAACACCAGCGGCGAAGGCGGCCUUCUGGACGGUGACUGACGCUCAGACGCGAAAGCGUGGGGAGCAAACAGG
rnacentral:rRNA from 1 species